rnacentral:rRNA from 1 species
GUAGUCCACGCCCUAAACGAUGUCAACUAGGCGUCGGGUUGUAUAGACUCGGUGCCGCAGCUAACGCAUUAAGUUGACCGCCUGGGGAGUACGGCCGCAAGGUUGAAACUCAAAGAAAUUGACGGGGACCCGCACAAGCGGUGGAGCAUGUGGUUUAAUUCGAUGCAACGCGAAGAACCUUACCAGGCCUUGACAUCCAGAGAACUUAGCAGAGAUGCUUUGGUGCCUUCGGGAACUCUGAGACAGGUGUUGCAUGGCUGUCGUCAGCUCGUGUCGUGAGAUGUUGGGUUAAGUCCCGCAACGAGCGCAACCCUUAUCCUUACUUGCCAGCACUUAGGGUGGGAACUGUAAGGAGACUGCCGGUGACAAGCCGGA